rnacentral:pre_miRNA from 1 species
CAUAUACUUCCUCCGUCCGGAAAUACUUGUCCUAGAAAUGAUUAUAUCUAGACUUAUUUUAGUUAUAGAUACAUUCAUUUUAUCCAUUUUGAGAACAAGUAUUUCCGGACGGAGGGAGUACUAU